GUGGGGCCCCGGAGCUCGGUGCAGGCUCUGGCGCAGGCCCGGGUCAGGCGCUCGGCAGCCGCCGUGUGUUCAGGCGCCGCUCGCUCACACCGACAUCCGCAGCAGCCACCGCUUCCUCCUCCCUGCCCCUUCCCCCACGUCCCUUCGCCGGCGCCGCGCGGAGCACGCCGGGUAACGCGCCUGGCGGCGUCGCCGAGUCAUCCCCGGCUGGCGCGACUUUGAGCUCAGCCUGCGUGCCUUUUCCUUUCCCGCUCCAUUGCCCAAAGUGCAGGCGAAGCCAGUGUGAAGGACUAAAAGCAAAAUGGGGCGGGGUAGGUCAGUUCAUGGUUUUUUUCCACUCCUUUCACCAAAAACUAAAUCGCAGUUUCCAGUUAAGCGCUGUAACGGCGCACCGAGAUGACGUCACGGUUAGCGAAAUUACUAGAAAGGGACCAGUGGGCCCUGCGGCCGCGGCUGCGCCUGCGCGCUUGCUGUCCAGACUAUGGAAAUGAUGUUAGACAAAAAGCAAAUUCGAGCAAUUUUCUUAUUCAAGUUCAAAAUGGGUCAUAAAGCAGCGGAGACAACUCACAACAUCAGCAACACAUUUGGCCCAGGAACUGCUAAUGAACGCACAGUGCAGUGGUGGUUCAAGAAGUUUCACAAAGGAGAGGAGAGCCUUGAAGAUGAGGAGCAUAGUGGCCAGCCAUCGGAAGUUGACAGUGACCAAUUGAGAGCAAUCAUCGAAGCUGAUCCUCUUAUAACUACACCUGAAGUUGCUGAAGAACUCAACAUUGACCAUUCUACAGUCGUUCGGCAUUUGAAGCAAAUUGGAAAGGUGAAAAAGCUUGGUAAGUGGGUGCCUUGUGAACUAAGCGAAAAACAAAAAAAUUGUCGUUUUGAAGUGUCAUCUUCUCUUAUUCUACGCAACAACAGUGAACCAUUUCUCGAUCAGAUUGUGAUGUGCCAUGAAAAGUGGAUUUUAUACGACAGCCAGUGACAGCCAGCUCAGUGGUUGGACCAGGAAGCUCCAAAGCAUUUCCCAAAGCCAAACUUGCACCAGAAUAAGGUCAUGGUCACUGUUUGGUGGUCUGCUGCUGGUCUGAUCCACUACAACUUUCUGAAUCCUGGCGAAACCCUUACAUCUGAGAAAUAUGCUCAGUAAAUCGAUGAGAUGCACCAAAAACUACAACACCUGCCGCUGGCAUUGGUCAACAGAAAGGGCCCAAUUCUUCUCCACGACAGUGCCCAACCACACAUUGCACAACCAGCACUUGGGAAAUUGAACGAAUUGGGCUACGAAGUUUUGCCUCAUCCUCCAUAUUCACCUGACCUCUCGCCAACCGACUACCACUUCUUCAAGCAUCUUGACAACUUUUUGCAGGGAAAACGCUUCCACAACCAGCAGGAUGCAGAACAUGCUUUCCAAUAGUUCGCUGAAUCACAAAGCAUGGAUUUUUAUGCUACAGGAAUAAACAAACUUAUUUCUCGUUGGCAAAAA
rnacentral:lncRNA from 1 species